GGCCGCGUGGUGGAACUGGUAGACACGACAGACUUAAAAUCUGUUGCCGCAUGGCGUCCGGGUUCGAUUCCCGGCGCGGCCACCA
rnacentral:tRNA from 1 species